rnacentral:rRNA from 1 species
CGUAGGGUCCGAGCGUUGUCCGGAAUUAUUGGGCGUAAAGGGCUCGUAGGCGGUCCGUCACGUCGGGAGUGAAAACUCGGAGCUCAACUCCGAGCCUGCUUCCGAUACGGGCAGACUAGAGGUAGGCAGGGGGAGAGCGGAACUCCUGGUGUAGCGGUGGAAUGCGCAGAUAUCAGGAAGAACACCGGUGGCGAAGGCGGCUCUCUGGGCCUUACCUGACGCUGAGGAGCGAAAGCGUGGGUAGCGAACAGGAUUAGAUACCCUGGUAGUCCACGCCGUAAACGUUGGGCGCUAGGUGUGGGGGACAUUCCACGUCCUCCGUGCCGCAGCUAACGCAUUAAGCGCCCCGCCUGGGGAGUACGGCCGCAAGGCUA